rnacentral:rRNA from 1 species
UACAGAGGGUGCAAGCGUUAUUCGGAAUUACUGGGCGUAAAGCGCAUGUAGGCUGUCUAAUAAGUUCGGUGUGAAAGCCCUGGGUUCAACUCAGGAAGUGCACCGAAUACUGUUAGGCUUGAGUAUGGGAGGGGAGAGUGGAAUUCCUGGUGUAGAGGUGAAAUUCGUAGAUAUCAGGAGGAACAACAGUGGCGAAGGCGACUCUCUGGACCAUUACUGACGCUGAGAUGCGAAAGCGUGGGGAGCAAACAGG